rnacentral:rRNA from 1 species
CAGUAGCCGCGGUAAUACGUAGGGCGCAAGCGUUGUCCGGAAUUAUUGGGCGUAAAGAGCUCGUAGGCGGUCUGUCGCGUCUGGUGUGAAAUCCCGAGGCUCAACCUCGGGCUUGCAUCGGGUACGGGCAGACUAGAGUGCGGUAGGGGAGACUGGAAUUCCUGGUGUAGCGGUGGAAUGCGCAGAUAUCAGGAGGAACACCGAUGGCGAAGGCAGGUCUCUGGGCCGCAACUGACGCUGAGGAGCGAAAGCAUGGGGAGCGAACAGGAUUAGAUACCCCCGUAGUCCCUGUCUCUUAUAC